rnacentral:rRNA from 1 species
UACGUAGGGCGCAAGCGUUGUCCGGAAUUAUUGGGCGUAAAGAGCGUGUAGGCGGCCAGAUAGGUCCGUUGUGAAACCUGGAGGCUUAACCUCCAGCGGUCGAUGGAAACCAUUUGGCUAGAGUCCGGAAGAGGAGAGUGGAAUUCCUGGUGUAGCGGUGAAAUGCGCAGAUAUCAGGAAGAACACCCGUGGCGAAGGCGGCUCUCUGGGACGGUACUGACGCUGAGACGCGAAAGCGUGGGGAGCGAACAGG